rnacentral:rRNA from 1 species
UCCGGUGACAAUGGCAAAGAGGUCACACCCGUUCCCAUGCCGAACACGGCCGUUAAGCUCUUUUGCGCCGAUGGUAGUUGGAGGCUUCCU